rnacentral:rRNA from 1 species
AACAGAUUUACUUCGGUAAUGACGUUAGGAAAGCGAGCGGCGGAUGGGUGAGUAACACGUGGGGAACCUGCCCCAUAGUCUGGGAUACCACUUGGAAACAGGUGCUAAUACCGGAUAAGAAAGCAGAUCGCAUGAUCAGCUUUUAAAAGGCGGCGUAAGCUGUCGCAAUGGGAUGGCCCCGCGGUGCAUUAGCUAGUUGGUAAGGUAAAGGCUUACCAAGGCGAUGAUGCAUAGCCGAGUUGAGAGACUGAUCGGCCACAUUGGGACUGAGACACGGCCCAAACUCCUACGGGAGGCAGCAGUAGGGAAUCUUCCACAAUGGACGCAAGUCUGAUGGAGCAACGCCGCGUGAGUGAAGAAGGUUUUCGGAUCGUAAAGCUCUGUUGUUGGUGAA